rnacentral:misc_RNA from 1 species
UUAAGUUCAGCGGGUAGUCCUACCUGAUCCGAGGUCAAGGUGUCAAGAGUUUUUUCUCCACAAGGGAAGAAGCUUUGUGAGCAGGCCGAUGGUUUCCGGACCGAGCGAAACGUAAGCACGCAAGGCCGUCCACCGACGGGACCGCUAAGGCAUUUGAGGUGAGCCAGACGGCAACACCCAAGUCCACUUCCAGCCGGGCA